ensembl:snoRNA Gm25409 small nucleolar RNA SNORA41
CUCCACAGCUAUUGGUCAGCAGCUGUUCUCCUGGUAGCAGUUGUAGCAUUCCUCUAUGGGGAAAAAAAAUGUCACACAAUUUAAUGCCUCUUUCUUAGCCACAGGAAAGAGGAGUAUGCUCGACAGACACAA